UCCCUGAUGGUCCAGUGGCUAGGACUCGGUGCUCCUAAUGCAAGAAUCCUGAGUUCAAUCCCUGGUCAGGGAA
rnacentral:tRNA from 1 species